GACGUAGGGUGCGCGCGUUGAUCGGAAUGACUGGGCGUAAAGAGCGUGUAGGCGGCCUUGUAAGUGGGGUGUGAAAGCCCUCGGCUCAACCGAGGAAGUGGGCCCUGAACUGCUUGGCUUGAGUCCGGGAGAGGGCGGUGGAAUUCCUUGUGGAACGGUGAAAUGUGUAGAUAUCAGGAAGAACGUCGGUGGCGAAGGCGGCCGCCUGGCCCGGUACUGACGCUGAAACGCGAAAGCGUGGGUAGCACACAGG
rnacentral:rRNA from 1 species